UUGGGUGUGUUGGGGGUAUCCAGGA
rnacentral:misc_RNA from 1 species